GGGUCAGUAGGUUGGUCGUGCCACCGGUACGUACUGGUCUCACUGAUUCCUCCUUCCUGAAGAACCGUAAUGCCAUUAAUUUGGUGUUGCGGGGAAACAGGACUGUUGCUUUGAAAAAAUUAGAGUAUUUAAAGCAAGCUAACGCUUGAAUACAUUAGCAUGGAAUAAUGAAAUAGGACGAUCGAUCCUAUUUUGUUGGUUUCUAGGAUUGACGUA
rnacentral:rRNA from 1 species